AUUGAACGCUGGCGGCACGCAUAACACAUGCAAGUCGAGCGGCAGCGAGACUAGUAGCAAUACUAGUUGUCGGCGAGCGGCGGACGGGUGAGUAAUAACGUAGGAACUUGCCUUUCAGAGGGGGACAACCAAGGGAAACUUUGGCUAAUACCGCAUAAACUCGGAAGAGGAAAGCUGCCUUUAGGGGUGGUACUGAAAGAGAGGCCUGCGUCUGAUUAGCUAGUUGGUGAGGUAGAGGCUCACCAAGGCGAUGAUCAGUAACUGGUCUGAGACGGACGACCAGUCACACUGGGACUGAGACACGGCCCAGACUCCUACGGGAGGCAGCAGUGGGGAAUAUUGGACAAUGGGGGCAACCCUGAUCCAGCGAUGCCGCGUGGGUGAAGAAGGCCUUCGGGUUGUAAAGCCCUUUAGGUUGGGACGAAGGUUAUUAUCGGAUAAUGGUAAUAACUUGACGGUACUAACAGAAUAAGCACCGGCAAACUCUGUGCCAGCCGCCGCCGUAA
rnacentral:rRNA from 1 species